GUGAGUCAUCGAAUCUUUGAACGCACCUUGCACUCUUUGGUAUUCCAAAGAGCAUGCCUGUUUGAGUGUCGCUAAAUUCUCAAAACUCAAUGGGGCUUUUGAUUGAACCCAAGUUGAGCUUUGGAUUUGGAGUGUGCUGGGAUCCUUUCUCUUGGCUCCUCUGGAAAUCAUUAGCAUGAGUUGGAGUUGAAUGGGCUUUGGUUUGAUAGUCAUCUAUGCCAUUGCUGUGAAUGCUCCUGUGUUGCUUACAGUCGUCCCUCUGGGGACAAUUUGACCAUUUGACCUCAAAUCAGGUAGGACUACCCGCUGAACUUAAGCAUAUCAAUAAGCGGAGGA
rnacentral:misc_RNA from 1 species